AAUCAUGACAAAUUGCGGAUCCUUAUGUUGUAAAAAACGAAGGACGACUGGGUCAGGUCUAUCCCCUAUCAGUUUUCGUAGGAAGCGUAUUGUACUUUCUAGACUAUGACGGGUAACGAAAAAUAAGGGUUUGAUUUCGGAGAAGGAGCCUGAGAGACGGCUACUACAUCUAAGGAAGGCAGCAGGCGCGCAAAUUUCCCAUUGCUUAUCAUAUAAUGUAAGCGAGGAAGUGACGAUCAAUAACAAUGUGUGACUCUUUAUGGGUUAUGCAAUUGGAAUGACUACAAUUUAAAGAGUUUAAGAAGGAUCAAUUGGAGGGCAAGUCUGGUGCCAGCAGCCGCGGUAAUUCCAGCUCCAAUAGGAUAUAUCAAAGUUGUUGCAGUUAAAAAGCUCGUAGUUGAAUUUCUGGAAGGUAGAAGUGUUUUUUUUAGAGAAGCAAUUUUUUAUUAAAAGCACCGCUUUCCAUUUUGUGGAUUUCUGUUUUGUAUGAAGAUAGUUUACUCUAUUUUUGUAUAAAAUACCACUCCGUCACGGAGAGCAAAUUGGAGUGCUCAAAGCAGGCUUUAUUAGCUUUGAACAUUUUAGCUUGGAAUGACAAGAUAUGACUUUUGUUUUAUUUUGUUGGUUAUGAAAUAAAAGUAAUGAUUAACAGGAACAGUUGCGGGGGUACUCGUAUUGAAAGGUCAGAGGUGAAAUUCUUGGAUUCUUUCAAGACGAACGACUGCGAAAGCAUUUACCAAGGAUGUUUUCAUUAAUCAAGAACGAAAGCUCGGGGAUCGAAGAUGAUUAGAUACCAUCGUAGUCCGACGCCAUAAACGAUGCCGACUCGGGAUUAUUUUGUUAGUUUAAAUUAAAAAAGAACACAAAGUAGCACCGUAUGAGAAAUCAAAGUCUUUGGGUUCCGGGGGGAGUAUGUCGCAAGGCUGAAACUUAAAGGAAUUGACGGAAGGGCACACCAGAGGUGGAGCCUGCGGUUUAAUUUGACCCAACACGGGGAAACUUACCAGGUCCAGACAUGAUGAGGAUUGACAGUUUGAAAGCACUUUCUUGAUUUCAUGGGUGGUGGUGCAUGGCCGUUCUUAGUUGGUGGAGUGAUUUGUCUGGUUGAUUCCGAUAACGAACGAGACGGGGUGAAUUUACUAGUUUGUUAUAUAAUUUACGUUAUAUAAGACUUCUUUAUUCGACAACUUGGUUUUACCAAGAGGAAGCGCCCCGCAAUAACAGGUCUGUGAUGCCCUUAGAUGUUCUGGGCUACACGCGCGCUACAAUGACGAAUUCAACGAGUUUAAAAUUUAUUCCUUAUCCGGAAGGAUGUGGGUAAUCUUUUCAAUAUUCGUCGUGAUGGGGCUAGAUUUUUGCAAUUAUUAAUCUUCAACGAGGAAUCUCUAGUAUGUGCAAGUCAUCAGCUUGCGCAGAAUGCGUCCCUGCCCUUUGUACACACCGCCCGUCGCACCUACCGAUUGGACGAUCCGGCAAGAUGUUUGGAGUUGUCUUGAUUGUAGAGUAAUUUAUGAUGAAAAUGACAAAGCUCUUCAAACCUUAUCGUCUAGAGGAAGGUGAAGUCGUAACAAGGUCUCCGUAGGUGAACCUGCGGAGG
rnacentral:rRNA from 1 species